rnacentral:rRNA from 1 species
UACGGAGGGGCUAGCGUUGUUCGGAAUUACUGGGCGUAAAGCGCACGUAGGCGGCUUUGUAAGUUAGAGGUGAAAGCCCAGGGCUCAACCCUGGAAUUGCCUUUAAGACUGCAUCGCUUGAACAUCGGAGAGGUAAGUGGAAUUCCGAGUGUAGAGGUGAAAUUCGUAGAUAUUCGGAAGAACACCAGUGGCGAAGGCGACUCGCUGGACAAGUAUUGACGCUGAGGUGCGAAAGCGUGGGGAGCAAACAGG